UACAGAGGGGGCAAGCGUUAUUCGGAAUUAUUGGGCGUAAAGGGCGCGUAGGCGGCUUGGCAAGUGGAUGGUGAAAUCCCUCGGCUUAACCGAGGAACUGCCGUCCAAACUGCUUCGCUUGAGACCGGGAGAGGUGAGUGGAAUUCCCAGUGUAGCGGUGAAAUGCGUAGAUAUUGGGAGGAACACCAGUGGCGAAAGCAGCUUUCUGGGACGGUACUGACGCUGAGACGCGAAAGCGUGGGGAGCGAACAGG
rnacentral:rRNA from 1 species